rnacentral:rRNA from 2 species
AAACCAACCGGGAUUGCCUUAGUAACGGCGAGUGAAGCGGCAAGAGCUCAAAUUUGAAAUCUGGCACUUUCAGUGUCCGAGUUGUAAUUUGAAGAUUGUAUUUUUAGGUAGACUUCUCGCAUAAGUUCCUUGGAAUAGGACGUCAUAGAGGGUGAGAAUCCCGUAUGGUGUGAAGUGUCUGCCUUUGUAAAAUGCUUUCGAAGAGUCGAGUUGUUUGGGAAUGCAGCUCUAAGUGGGUGGUAAAUUCCAUCUAAAGCUAAAUAUUGGCGAGAGACCGAUAGCGAACAAGUACAGUGAUGGAAAGAUGAAAAGAACUUUGAAAAGAGAGUGAAAAAGUACGUGAAAUUGUUGAAAAGGAAGGGCUUGAGAUCAGACUUGGUGUAUUGUGAUCAGCUUCCUCUCGGGGAUGUGCACUCGCAGUACACUGGGCCAGUAUCGAUUUUGGCGGUGAGAUAAUGGCAUUGGAAUGUGGCCCCUCGGGGUGUUAUAGCCUUUGUUGAUAUCACCAGCCGGGAUCGAGGACCGCGCUUUUAGCUAGGAUACUGGCGUAAUGAUCUUAAGCCAC